rnacentral:rRNA from 1 species
AUUGAACGCUGGCGGCAGGCCUAACACAUGCAAGUCGAGCGGGGUGAUGGUGCUUGCACUAUCACUUAGCGGCGGACGGGUGAGUAAUGCUUAGGAAUCUGCCUAUUAGUGGGGGACAACAUCUCGAAAGGGAUGCUAAUACCGCAUACGUCCUACGGGAGAAAGCAGGGGAUCACUUGUGACCUUGCGCUAAUAGAUGAGCCUAAGUCGGAUUUGCUAGUUGGUGGGGUAAAGGCCUACCAAGGCGACGAUCUGUAGCGGGUCUGAGAGGAGGAUCCGCCACACUGGGACUGAGACACGGCCCAGACUCCUACGGGAGGCAGCAGUGGGGAAUAUUGGACAAUGGGGGGAACCCUGAUCCAGCCAUGCCGCGUGUGUGAAGAAGGCCUUAUGGUUGUAAAGCACUUUAAGCGAGGAGGAGGCUCUUUUGGUUAAUACCCAAGAUGAGUGGACGUUACUCGCAGAAUAAGCACCGGCUAACUCUGUGCCAGCAGCCGCCGUAA